CAGUCAACCGAUUCCGGUGUCUCCUGUGGUUCCUGUGGCUAAAUCCUUGUCCAAGGAUGCAUCUAGCUUUAACCCCAUCAAAAAUCAUGAGCUAUUGGAUCAUUAGUUAGAUGCUCUUUGUGUACUAGUAUUUUGUUUGGAUAGUGGGCAUGCAUGCUGUUUCGCUUUGUUUUCUUGUUCUAUUUAAGUUGAUGCAUCACUAAAUCUGUUUUUAUUUUCCUUGUUAGACCUCUUACCAGAAGUUUUUUUUGGGUGUGUUCUUGGAUACUCUACAAAUCCCCCAAUUUCUAUGCUAGCUGAACAAAUUAGACGCUAGUUCUUUCUACAAAUGGUGAGCUUCCUCUGCCAGUUGAUCUAUUUCCGUUUCUUUCAGAUAAUAUUUAACUACUGACAUGCAUAUGGAUGACUAUCAAGGAUGGUUGAAAGGCUAGCUAAUGAAUACUAAUCUGAGGCACUGGGGGCUGUACUUAUGCUGAUCUAAUUGUAAGUUUGUAUGUCAUACCAUAUUCGUCAGGCUCAGAAACCAAAGAUGGAAAUGCUAUGUUCAAGUUUGUGGCACUUAGGCUGUAUUUCUCAUUUUUCAGUAUGUUGGCAUCGAAGUAUGUUCUCUUUUUUUUCUGGAUUUAUUUCUGGUGCUUUGAAGCAUCGGCUUGUCUCAAUUUGAGAACUUGCAAUGCAUGUGUGUGAAUGUCUAUGGAUUUUCGGUGACAACUUGGAAUGCAUGUGAUGUUAGUUUGAAA